AAGCACGUACCACACCACACCACACGUCACGCUACCACCCGAUCCAAUUCAUGAGGAUGUCGAUGGAUCACACACACGCGCAGAGGUCAAUAAUUUUCAGCACGAGACAGCUCCAUGUGCAGAUAUAUAUUAAUUAUUACUCAUGGACCAUCUCCCAUUUACAUUUCCUGAUUGCUUAAUCGUGCAGCUGCAUGAUUCGCUUGUUGUGAGCGCACCCGUUACCGGACAAACCUGCACACGUUGCGCCCCUCGAAAGAAAAAACUUCGCUAUUUCUGUCUUCUGGUAAAAGGCCUUAUCCAGUUAGCCCACAAAUCCCCUUUCCUCGUCUUAAACGGUGGUGGCGAAGAAGCACACCGGCGUUGAUGCCCAAAAGGUCGACCGGGAGGUGGCACCGGAGGGGCUUGGCGAGAAGGUCGGCCGGGGAACCGAAGCAAUUGUGCACCGUCUCCUCCUCGCCCUUUCUCGGAGCUGGAGCUAUGCCACCGGCGGCGGCAGUAGUGUUAAGGAUGCCUAUUUCGUCGUCGUCGUCGAGGUACAUGCAUGCUCCUCUUGCGAGCGCGAUUUGCUUCCCCUGCUGUCACCGCCAGCUGCUCUCCCCCACCGUCUGAUCCCAUGGGCACGCCCUGGUCUAGACGUGUCGACGACGAUGCUGCAUCGGCCGUGUCGCCGGAAUCCACGCAGCGCCGUGGAGAGACCCGAGAACUGCAGCUUCCGCUUCGCCGCCGCCAACCAGCUCCCCUAACGUGUACGACCCUAUCCCCCUCUCUAUCUCGUCAGCUAGUUGGCUAGAUAGAUUACUAUGACCCAAGCUUGCAAUUGGAGCUCUGACGAAACAAUCCAUGUCCUCGGUUUAGCUGACCAAAAAUCUUAGAAGACUUGAGAUGCUUCUGUAGUUGCAACUGUGUUCUAAAUACAAGUUUUACCACUUCAUUUGGACAAGUGCAGUCUAAUUGAGCUACUUGGUCAUACUAACUGGAACAAAUGAUGCAUAUGUAUUGUAGGAGAACCUGCAUGUUGUUGUGUGUGCAUCCAAAGCCGUCGUGCGGCUACAACAGGGUAACGCAAAGAUUCGGUUCCUUCAUCACAUAGCUUGGGCCUCAAGUUGUGCCACACUUCUUUGUUUUUUGAAUGCAGCCCCAAGCACGCUGCUAGCUAGUUGUAUCUAAGCAUUUUGCGCCAAACAUAUGUGCCCUGGUCUUUCACUUCAGAAUAGUCGGUAUGUUGUCGAGUGGAGUUGCCUAGUAACAUUUUUUAUGUAAGUGUUUUCUGUGAUAGGAGUUUGGAUAGUUGUAUGGGGCGAUUAGUUAUUUCGUGCGGAACGAAGACAUCACCAUCAUCAUCCUGCUUGUGAAAGGGGUUAGUAGGGAUAGAGCAACUGUGCAAAGACAAUGGAACAACUUUGAAGUAGAAUAGAGCAACUCCAGGCCACAAAUCACAAAGCAUCAUAAAUAAAACACGGUGGGAUUUUGGAAGAACUACCACGCAACAAAAGUGUUGGAUUCAGAAGGCGACUUUCCACUCUAAGAAUAGAGUAGUUACUUGGAUUUUUUUUAAAGAGUUGAAUUUGGUGUGUGUGUGUGUACUGCAGUUGCUUUGUUUUGUUGGGGCAGUUGCUCGGAUUCGUUUUUGAACAUUUUGUUGCAUUUCUACCUUUUGUAAUGUAGUUGCUUGGUUUUUCUUGGACAGUUGCUUCCUUUUUACUAGAACACUUUUGCAUUUUGUGUUUUUUAAUUGAGUUGCUUGGAUUUUUGCUAGGCCAGAUGAGAAGUUGCAUGGGGAGGGGGGUCAGAUAGUUUUCCACAAAGGGAGCAGGUUGUGGGACAACGGUCCCUGUGCAACUAUCAGAAUAGCACGCUGGCGGUGAGCGUCUCCAAGGCAAGGGAGAAGAGGACGUUGCAGCUCAAGGGGGGGGGGGGUCUCACUACGUGAAGAAUUAUUGAAGAACGAUGAGGGCCGGAGACAUUGUUUCUCUUUUCCAUAGAGAAGCUAUUAAAAUAGGGAAGAAGAAGAAGAAGGUAGGGAAUAUGCUUGAUAUGGCUGAAGAGCAAACCAGAGAACUUGUGUGUAUGCGGUUGUGAUUUAAGAGCAAACUCAUGAACCAACAGUGUCUAUGUCGAAUGUGACCAUAGAGCAAAAGCAUAGGCCAGAAACAUAGUCUUUUUAAACUUCUCAAGGUAUGUACUAUGGUCCAUGUAGUAUUUACUAUGUAGGCUUCUUUAUAAAAAGCUAAGAUUUAAUUGAGAA